rnacentral:lncRNA from 1 species
GCCACUGCGGGGACCACCGCGACGCCGCCCCCUGGAGAAACGGGACCGCUGCCUGGCAGCGCUCGCCGGGCCCCUGGUACAAUAAAUGUGAGCCCCUUACCCGCUCGCCGCCGUCUCUCCUCGCGAAGCACAUCCAGAGGCGACGAGACGGCGCGGCCGGCCUCCGCUCAGGCCAGCUCUCUGGUGGGUUUCGCUCCCCAGUCAGGUCGGAAGGCUGGGGGCUAGAGCGCUGAAAUGCUCCUGAGCAGGCGCGACGGUGCUGGCAGCAGCUGAGGAGAUGGAAGAGCCGGAGAAGAAAAAUCUUGAAGAGAAAGAAGCCAUUGAAUCCACACCUUUUCGGCUUCGUCAGUCGGAAUGGCCACCUCACUCUCCCAGCGGCGCACGAUCCAAAACGGCGGCGCAAGGUCCAAGAUGGCCGCUCCCAACAUAAGGAAACGACGUUGGCGCGGCCAUGUUGUACGGCAAUCAUUCUGCCAGGCACCUGAAUCUAAUGCUCACUUCCCAAGGGGCCUUGACGUCGGGUGUGGAGGUGGCCCGUCCCCGACGUCAGCGGAAGUGGCGUAGGAAGCUUGGCUUCCCCGGACUCGCGGUCACAAUAUUGGCUUUUGAGGUUCCGUCAGAUUUCCGCGAGCGGCUUUAAGAAUCCCGCGUGGUGGGAAUUCCAGGACUUAAGAUGUGGUUUGUGGGCUUAUUGUCAUUCAGUGACGUGGCUGUGGAUUUCACCUGGGAAGAGUGGCAGCUUCUAGACACCGUUCAGAAGGACCUCUACCGGGAUGUGAUGCUGGAAAAUUACAGCAACCUUAUGUCCCUGGGUAAAGACAACUUUCCUAAUAACCGCAGCAUAUGCCCAUUAAUUGCCUGUCUUUUUUCCAUUGCAACAAUCUAUGGGUACUUGGAUGCCCUCAAUGAUUUUGAACUUGGACUAGUAUUGGUAGGUGACAGAGCUGAUUUUAUUAUCUUACAGGGACUGUACUUAAUUUCAUUUUCCAAUUAA